GUGGUUAGUGUGGGGCUAAAAUGCCAAUUUACCUUUCAAAGUUCUGAAUAAAACAUUUGUUAAAUGUGUUUUAGGGAUAUUUUGGGGGAUAUGAUUCAGUCACAGACUAAUUGGUUCAGUUUCAUAAACAUUUCUUAUUAAAAUACCAGUGAUAUCAUAUUGUAGAACGACUAACGAAUACAAGUGUUGGAUUGCACGAAAAAUAAAUAAUUAAUAAAAUAUUAAAAUAAAUUUAUUAGAAUAUAUGUGUGGAGCAAGGAUCCACCCCUUAGCGGCUAGAUAUUUUUUUUUAACCCAAGCAACAUAUGGAUGAUCGUACGUAUUCAAUAAUUUGUCAAUUGAAACUAAGGUCAGAUAGCAUCAAGUUUUAUUAACUCACUUUGUGAUGGGGAAUUUUGUUUCUGGAGUUUGCAAACAUUGCAUUUUACCCAAAAGAAAAAAAUAUAUUUCAUGGUAAUCUGAUACAAAUAAUUGACAUGCCGUGAGAUGGCCGGUGCGGGUCCGGACGAGUCAGAAGCAGCAAUACACGGGGCCAAUUGCGUUAUGACAGGUGUCCUGGGAUGGAAAGUGUUUUGGUUCUCGGGUGACGUACCGUUGUUCUGUGCGCGACCGAGCGAGCGAGUGCGAGGUCAUCAACGUAAAUUUGGUCUCGGGGCUUCCCAUCCUGUCCAUCGGUCUCUGGAUAUAUCCUCCGUUUUGGUAUUCUCUUCCCCGCCAUGGAACGCUCACCAUUCCCGCAUGGCUUCCUUCGCUUCCCGCUCUCUCCACCGAGACCUCUUCCUCUCUCGGAGCUUUCCAUCUCCAAGCGGCUCCAAAGCCCACUCCUUUCCCCGUUCCUACCCUCUCUCGGCACCCACACCCGCUCUCCUGCGUGAGUUCCCGACGGUCUCCGUUGCUAGAUCGCACGCGAGCAACGUAGCUGAGAAAGUCCCCCAGAGAGAAGAGACCUGUGAGAAGAAUGCUAGGAACCACGCAAGGCACAAAGACGCUGGCUCCCCGCUCCCGUCUCUGAGUUCGCUAGAUGGAAUGGUGGAGAGGAAUGAUCGAAAAGCUGAGAACCGUCCAGCGGUGAAGGAGAAAAUGGUAGAACUUGGAGCUACGAAACAAAGGAAUAGGUCGAAAGGUAGAGGUUCCAGGUCCGGGGCGUCUUCCUUCGGAUCAAGAGUUGAAGUGGGGGUUAGAAAAUUAAGAAAGAUCGAAAAUUUGGGCAAAAGUCACAAGAAAAUGGAGCAGAAGAAAGGGAUUAAGAAAGCUGAGGUCGAUACAGCAGCAGUUGAGCUGAGACUUGGUCUGGACAUGUGCUCCAAAACAGGGGACGUGUUGGGGGCGAUAUCUCUAUAUGACUCGGCUGUAAGGGAUGGCGUCAAGAUGGAACAGUACCACUACAACGUGUUGCUUUAUCUGUGUUCUUCUGCAGCCAUUGGGGUCGUUCUUCCUGCAAAAAGUGGUACCGGUGGUAGUAGUAUCACUUCCUUUAAAGAGGACGCAAGUGACCUGGAUGAAAACAGGGACUUGGUUGAUGCAAGGAAUCCAAAAUGGCAGCUUUCAGGUGACAUCAGAGGAGAAGGUCAAUUAAAAGAUGUUUUGCAUCAUUAUAGAACAGAGUUGAAGGGAAAAUUUGAUGUCGGCAAGAGUAUAGAUGGUUUCUUGGAUGGAACAAAUGAAAGUAGUAAGAAAGAUGGUGCUCCAAUUCAAUUUAGCGAUGAUGUCAGAGACUAUGCACGAAUGAGGGGAUUGGAAAUCUAUGAAAAGAUGUGCUUGGAGAAAAUUCCUAUGAGUGAAGCAGCUUUAACAUCCGUAGCUCGAAUGGCAAUGUCGAUGGGUAAUGGAGACAUGGCUUUUGAGAUUGUAAAACAAAUGAAGGCGCUGGGUAUAACUCCAAGACUGCGGUCAUAUGGUCCUGCUUUAUUGGCCUUCUGCAAUGCUGGUGAUAUUGAGAAAGCAUUUGAGGUAGAACGACAUAUGUUGGAGUCUGCAAUCCACCCUGAAGAGCCAGAACUGGAGGUACUUUUAAGAGCUAGUGUGGCGGCUCGUAGAGGAGACAAGGUUUAUUACUUACUGCACAAGCUUAGAACUAAUGUGAGACAGGUUUCCCCAUCCACAGCAGAAUUAAUUGAGGCAUGGUUUAAGAGUUCAACUGCUUCCAGAGUAGGAAAAAGAAAAUGGGAUGUAAAGAUGGCAGCACAGGCCAUAGAGAAUGGUGGAGGGGGUUGGCAUGGGUUGGGUUGGUUGGGUAAGGGAAAAUGGACUGUGGCACAUGCUAAUGUUGAUGCAGAUGGUGUCUGUUUGGGCUGUGACGAGAAGUUGGUGACCAUAGACCUUGAUCCAGUUGAGACUGCAACUUUUGCUGAAUCUGUAGCUUCUAUAGCUAGCAAGAGGGAAAGGAAUGCAAGCUUUCAGAAAUUCCAAAAAUGGUUGGAUUACUAUGGCCCUUUUGAAGCUGUUGUAGAUGCUGCAAAUGUGGGUCUUUUCAGCCAAAGGCGGUUCUCAAUAAAUAAGGUAAAUGUUGUCGUUAAUGCCAUACGCCAGAAACUUCCGUCGAAGAAAUGGCCACUGAUAAUUGUGCAUAACAAACGGCUCAGUGGAGGCAAGAUGGAUGGACCUAUCAACGGGAAGUUAGUAGAGAAAUGGAGAAAUGCAGAUGCUAUUUAUGCAACUCCUACUGGAUCAAAUGAUGAUUGGUACUGGUUGUAUGCAGCUAUAAAAUGUAAGUGCUUGAUCGUGACGAAUGAUGAAAUGCGAGAUCAUAUAUUCCAGGUCUUAGGAAAUGAUUUCUUCUCCAAAUGGAAAGAAAGGCAUCAGGUGCGUUUCAGUUAUCAUGGUGGCAAUUUUGAAUUUCACAUGCCGCCUCCUUGUUCUGUGGUUAUCCAGUUCAGGAAUCUGAGAAAGGUCAUUGGCAUAUCCCAAUGUCAGUGGAACAUGAUCAAUCAGAGAGAGAAAGAACCUGGUUAUGUGUAACACGUGCCCACUUGCAUAUGAUGACGGAAGAAUUGUCAAAUUCACCUGAAGAACAACAACCUGAGAAGAUGGCAAUCAGUGCUACUUUAUACAUUGGAGCUAGCAACCAGAGCAGGUCCAGUGAAAGCUCAAAAGAGAAGUUCAUAAGAAGUCCCCAGAGAGAUAUCGCUGACAGGGAAAAUCCAAAUACAAUAAUAUCCAGUAUUGAGGCUGCUGAGAAAUUGUGUGGCUGUGUUAUUGAUUUCCAAAUCUAACAGGGACCAACAAGUUUUACGGGUCUCAUCAUCAGCAGACAUGUUAUGGCCUAUCAGCCAGGAAAAUUGUUAUUAGAAGUCAGGAAAUAUUUGAGGCUCCUGAAGUCGAAUUUUCAACGUUAGUGGUUCUUGUGUAAAUAUUUACUUCUUUUUUGGCCCUUAAUUACCUUUAUCUUCAACAUUAUAUAAUAUUCUUUUCUUCUUUCUUUUUUCUUUUCUUUUCUUUUUU